CCUAAAGUGCACCAUGGUGAGGAAAAUCUUGCCUUCUUAAAUUUUUUUUAUUUUUAUUAUUAUUAAUUUUUUGAUGAAUCUUGUACUGUUGCCCGGGCUAGUAUGCAGUGGUACAAUCUUGGCUCACUGCAACCUCCACCUUCCGGGUUCAAGUGAUUCCCCUGUCUCAGCUUUCUCAGUAGCUAGGAUUACAAACACCUACCACCACGACUGGCUAAUGUUUUUUAUUUUUAUUUUGAGUAGAGAUGGGGUUUCACUAUGCUGGCCAGGCUGGUCUCAAACUCCUAACCUCAUGAUCCAUCAGCCUUGGCCUCCCAAAGUGUUGGGAUUAAAGUUGUGAGCCACUACACCUGGCCGAAAAUCUUGCAUUUAAGCAAAGAAGGAAUGAGUCUGAAAGCAGGAAUGGAAACGGGAAAAGAUAAGGGGGCCAGAAGGAAAGUGGAGGAGAAAAGAAGGGUUAGGGUCUGAGAGGGAGAAAAGAUCCAAGUAUUUUCAGCCCCAUGGCCUGGAGUUGCAAGUGGGUGGGGCAAGGCCACUGGAGCUGUGACAGCCUUGAAAGCCAGGGUGACUCAUGUGGGGGCCCUCUGUUUCCUCUGGGUGUGUCACACCCUGGGCUCCAGGUCCCCAGUGGCACACGUACUGGCACAGAGUUGGGCGUCUGCAUCAAGCUUCUGUUCCUGGUGCCAGGAUGGUCCGGGAUGGGUCAGGGCUAUCUUGAAAAUGUUACGGAGGCACCUUCUGGAUUUUCCCUGGACCAUUCCAGGCCAUUUCUCGGGCUCUGCCUCCUGCGGGAAAGCUCACCUCCAUGAAGCCAGGACUCACAUGUCACCUCCCUGGGAGACCUUUUUGUUCUGGUUACUGAGGACCUUGGGCCUCCCCCUCUCUCUCUUCCUUCCCACAUCCUUGUUCUCCACCCCCUAAGUCAUCUGUCACUUUCCUACAUUCUGGAAUACACCUGCUCAUUAUGUUCACUUGCUGUCCCCACUGGAGCAGGGAUUUUGUCUGUUUUCCUCAGGGAAGCAUUCAUGGCACAGCCCAUUAUCCAUGCUGAGGCUAUACCUACCCUGUGAGUGAAUAAAUGAAAGGACAGUCAUUGCGUAGGGGCCUCU
rnacentral:lncRNA from 1 species